UUACGGCCAUAUUACAUUGAAAUACCGGUUCUCGUACGAUCACUGAAGUUAAGCAAGGUCGAGUCUGGUCAGUUUCUAGAUGGGUGACCAUUUUGGGAAUAUUAGGG